CGCACGGGUGAGUAACACGUAAGUAAUCUACCUUUGGGUGGGGAAUAACUCAAGGAAACUUGAGCUAAUACCGCAUAAUGCAGCGGCUCCUUCGGGAGACAGUUGUUAAAGCAUUUAUGCGCCUAAAGAGGAGCUUGCGGCAGAUUAGCUAGUUGGUAAGGUAACGGCUUACCAAGGCUACGAUCUGUAGCCGGCCUGAGAGGGCGGUCGGUCACACUGACACUGAAUAACGGGUCAG
rnacentral:rRNA from 1 species